rnacentral:lncRNA from 1 species
AUUUACAACAAUAACAAACCCAGUGUAUCCCACAAAUAGGGGAUCUGGGGAGGGUAUUAUGUACACAGCCUUACCUUAUGCAUGUAUAGAGGCUAUUUCCGGUAGACCCUCGGCUCUAAGCAAGCAUGCAAAUCACAACAGUAUAGAGAAAAGUUCAUAGAAUGUGGUGAGAUGCAAAAGGAAGACACUGUUGAUUACGAAAUGAAUGAAGAAGACAUGCGUGGGUUGAAUACUCUCUCUAAAGUAGAUUGACUGGAUUCACAUGGUAUGGCAAUGGGGUAUAUCUUCUGAAAGUGAAAUUAGUGAAGACCCACAGAAAAGGUGAUCGGUAACAGUAACAAGGAACCUUCAGACACACAUGCAAUAGAUUAGAAAGCGGGUUCAACAUUGUGUCUUAUUAAAACUAAAGAUGAAAGGAAUGUCAGUGUUCUAUCGGGCAGUCAGCGGUUCCAGAUGGGUUUUGAAUGGGUUGAAAUGGGGGCUCUGAACAACAGUGGGGAUAUCAUCAACUAUUGUGACGAGAAGUUGGAAAUGUAAUGAAAAAUUGUUGGGUUCGUACACAAUCACAUUUUUUUUUGAAAGAAGUUAAUUCCGGGUUCGGCUGUAUAUUUGCUGGGGACUGAUGGGCCAUGUGAACGGAAAGGAAUAAAGGAAUUCUAGUUGGAGUUGGCUGAUAUCGGUUGGUUGGUUAUAUUACCUUGGGCUAUAGGGGUAAUUUUAAUAUCAUCAGCUCUGAUGAAGAAAGAUUGGGAAGGUCAAGAUGUACUUAGAUCUAUGAGAGAGCUUCUAGGGGUAAUUUUAAUAUCAUCAGCUUUGAUGAAGAAAGAUUGGGAAGGUCAAGAUGUACUUAGAUCUAUGAGAGAGCUUUCUUUAAUUAAUCAUCCACCUCAUGGGGAUGAAUUCACUUGGUUUAGAGGCGGUAACAAUCAGUGUGCUUCAAGGAAUGAUAGAUUAUUACUCUCAAGGCAGUGGGAUGAAAAUUUUAAAUUUAUUGAACAAAGAGUCCUGCCAAGAUUGGUCUCGGCUCACUGUGCCAUCUUAUUGGAAUGUGGAAACUGGAGUAGUACAAUAAAAUCAAUAACAACCCAGUAAAAUCCCACAAGUGGGGUCUGGGGAGGAUAGUGAAUACGCUGGCCUUGCUCCUGCCUCGAGGGAGUAGAGAGGCUAUUUUCAAUAGACCGUCGUCUCAAGAAGACGAAACGAGAUAAUAUAUUAGUACCAGCAAUAAAAAUUUGAAAAAUAAUAACAGCAACGUGAGAACAAAAAAUAUAGAUGGAAAAGCAAUAACAAUAAUUAGUAAAUAAGGCCCGGUACUAUUAAAAAUGAAAGAAUAGUGAAAACACAACAAUAACCACUAGUAGUCUAAGACAAAACACUGUCAGACUAGCUUCAACUACUUCCUAACCUACAACUUUAAUGCCCAAUCUUUGCACCUUUCUUAUCAAGGGUCAUUUCCUCGGAAAUCUGAAGACGCCCCAUGUCCUACCUGAUCACAUCUCCCCAAUGCUUCUUAGUUGUCCUCUACCUCUUCUCAUAUCCGCCAAAGCCAACCGCUCACAACUCCUUAUUGGGGCAUCUGGGUUUCUCCUCCGCACGUGCCCGAACCAUCAAAGUCUUGCUUCCCGCAUCUUGUCAUCCAUGGGAGCCACAUCCACCUUCUCCCAAAUAUAAAUCCUUAAUUUUAUCCAACCUAGUGUGACCUCACAUCCACCUCAACAUCCUCAUCUCUGCUACUUUCAUCUUUUGGAUAUAUGACUUCUAAUUUCAUCUUUUGGAUAUAUGAAUGCUUUAUUGGCCAACACUUUGCUUCAUACGACAUGCCGUUCUGACCAGUGCUCUAUAAAGCUCUAUAAAACUUACCUUUGAGUUUCGGAGUUGAGGAUAUCUUAAAAUUGAAAAUAUGUAGUUUGAAUGUGCUGAAUUUACUGAUUUGGUGGAUAAAUGGUGGAAAUCCUAUGAGCUGCAUCACCAUUUUGCAACACCAGAGAUUCUCGUAUUUAUCUCUGUUUGGUAUGUUCUUUGAGCAAAAUGUUAACAGUAAACACACAGUAUAUCAGGAGAAAUUUCUCCUCUUCUCAUUCUCUGCCUACUACAUGAAUUGCAUUUCAGGCCACCACCUCCUACAGUAUCUUUUCUGUUGUACCUACCCGCAAGAUCAUCAGCCAACUUGAGACUGGAUUUCAUUUUCUUUUUGUGUUAGUCUUUUCCUUCUGUUGCUUAUUUGUCUUCUAUAACUUUCUCUGCGUUUCAUUUUAUCCCUUUAGUCUCUUGCAACUUUGUCUGUUUGGUGCCAUUGACCAGACCAGUCUGAUCUACGAAAUCUGUAGCUUAGCUACUGAAGCUACAAAAAGCAAAGGUAAAAAGAGAUUGUGGGCAAGGAUGUGGGGCAUUUGAGAUGGAGGGUAUGAGAGAGUGCAUUAUAUUCCUACUUACAGAUAUGGUUAUCCUUUUUUUAAGUGCUUGGAAUAUUGAGGGAUGAUGGAGAAAAAAUCUAUAGGGAUCUUUAAGGUGCUAAAAUUGUCUGGACCUAGUUUGAGGACCAACUAAGAUAAACAUUGAGGGAAUAGGAUAGUAAACGCUGAACCCCAGUGGAUUAUGGUAGUAAGGCCACUAUGUGACUUACAAUAGAUAGUAAGCGCUGAACCCCAGUGGAUUAUGGUAGUAAGGCCACUAUGUGACUUACAAUAUCCGGCCACGUGUUUAAGUCGUCUGCAAAGUAUUCUACCCGUCGCUCCGAUUGAAAUUGUACUUCAAUGUGGUCGUGACCCUUUCGCGACAAUGACUUAUCAAGUGGGAUUUGGGGAAGGUAGUGUGUAUGCAGACUUUAUCCCUACCUCGGGAGCAGAGAUGUUUCCGAUGGACCCUCUUCUCAAGAAUAUGAAAAGAGAUAAUAGAUCAGUUUCGCAGCAAUGACUUAGCGAACAACAAAUCCUCAAGUGCUUGAUGCGGCGAAAAAAAAAAUACUUAAAUCAGUUUGAUCUCAAAAUGUCAUCAUACAAAUCUCUCAACUAGGAGAGUGUUUCUAGUUAACCAUGUUUCCUAUUUUUUCACUUUCUUGGUCUUUUUAUAUCUGACUAUGGUUGUACCUUGCAGGAGGAAUGUGUUCCAUUCAAAAAUCACAGUCCGUCUCACCAUGUAGUGACUAAGUUCCAAUGAAGUUGAUGUUUAUCUGCAAAAGCGGACUAGGUUUCGGAGUUGAUGUUUGUCUGCAAAAGUGUGGUCCAUUAAAUAUGAAGAUUUAGAGGUAAUCUUUGUCAGCCCAAUAGUAUUGUAAGGAUCAAGGAGGCAGUGUAUGUUUAGUUUGUUCAGGGAGGGAGUUUGUAUGGUUCAGGCAGGGAUAAUUUAUUUAAUUGGCCUGACAGAUGUAACAAAAUUUGUGUUUAUUUUUUCAGAUGUUAGAAGAAAUAUCUACCUAUGUAAAACACUCUUAUUUUUUCAGUAACUCAUUUUUUCUUGUUAGUUCAUGGGUAGGCAUGCGACUGUAUUUAUGUUUUUUUAUGUUUACAUAGUUAUUUAUGUUAUUUCUGCGGGAUUUACUAAUGCUUUAUUAUUUUGUUUUUGUCUUGUUUUUGUUUCUAAUUUUGUCUUGGUUUUUGUUUUUGCUUUUUGUCUAGUGCAGCUUUUCAUUUUUUCCUAUGCGCCGAGGGUCGAUUG